rnacentral:rRNA from 1 species
CCCUUAGAUGUCCCGGGCUGCACGCGCGCUACACUGAUGUGUCCAGUAAGCACCUAACCUCUUCCGAAAGGAACGGGUAACCUUUGCAAAGCACAUCGUGAUGGGGAUAGAUUAUUGCAAUUAUUAGUCUUGAACGAGGAAUUCCUAGUAAGCACAAGUCAUCAGCUUGUGUUGAUUACGUCCCUGCCCUUUGUACACACCGCCCGUCGCUCCUACCGAUUGAAUGUUCCGGUGAGCUCUUCGGACUGCGCGGUCUGCAGUUUCUGCGUUCCGUGCGGAAAGUUGCGCAAACCUUAACAUUUAGAGGAAGGAGAGGUCGUAACA